GGCGACGCAGAGCGGAACCCGAAAAACCCUGUCUCAGUUCGGAUUGGAGUCUGNAACCCGACUCCAUGAAGCUGGAUUCGCUAGUAAUCGCGCAUCAGCCACGGCGCGGUGAAUACGUUCCCGGGCCUUGUACACACCGCCCGUCAAGCCAUGGAAGCCGGGAGUGCCUGAAGUGCGUGAGCGCAAGCAGCGCCCUAAGGUAAAACCGGUGACUGGGGCUAAGUCGUAACAAGGUACC
rnacentral:rRNA from 1 species